GGAGUGAGAGAUCAUAUUCUCUUCUUCUCCACCAAGUUACUCAACAAGGGGGAUGCCUUGGCUUAAUGCCACAUGUACAUCAUCUUUAUAUCUGAUGGGCCAACUUUAUCAAAUGGUCAACUGAGGAAAUUUGCCUUCGCAAGAGAGUUUCCAGGCAGGUGUUUCCCGGAGUGGUUUGUGUCUGAUGCUCCAGCCCCUGUUCCUGGUCUAACUCAAGCUUGACUAUGUCAAUCCACGCUGCCUUCUGCACCAUGCAGUGAAAGCUGCUGGCUUGCUACCCAGAUAACUUAAGUUUCUCUGUCUCUGUCAGUUCUUACACAUCCUAACUGCUGUGUCUGUUUAGUCUGUAGAGAAAGUAA
rnacentral:lncRNA from 1 species